GCCCGGCUGGCUCAGUCAGUGGAGCAUGAGACCUUUGAUCUUGGGGUUGUGAGUUUGAGCCCCAUGCUGGGUA
rnacentral:tRNA from 1 species